rnacentral:lncRNA from 1 species
GCUCCCGUGAUCCAGCCUGCUCCCGUCGAGCAACCCACUCCCGUGGCCCAGCCUGCUCCUGCCAAGCAGCCCACUCCCGUGGCCCAGCCUACUCCUGCCAAGCAGCCUACUUCCGUGGCCCAGCCUGCUCCCGCCAAGCAACCUGCUCCUGCCAAGCAGCCUGCUUCCGUGGCCCAGCCUGCUCCCGCCAAGCAACCUGCUCCUGCCAAGCAGCCUGCUCUCGUGACCCAGCCUGCUCCCAACGAGCAGCCCACUCCCGACGAGCAGCCCACUCUCAAGGCCCACACUGCUCCCGUGGCUUUCCAAGCAGCCCAAGUCGGCCCAAAACUAUCUCAACCAUCUGGACCUACC